ACCCGGGUGAAGGAGGAUG
rnacentral:miRNA from 1 species